GGCUCAGUAAACCAGUUUUAAUUUACUAGAGUUUUCACGUUUCGUACGUGGAUAACUGUGGUAAUUCUAGAGCUAAUACAUGCAACUAAGUCCGGACCAGAAAUGGAAAGGACGCUUUUAUUAGAUCAAAACCAUUCGCCCGGCUUGUUCGGGCGUUGUUUUGGUGAAUCUAGAUAACACUUAUGAUCGUACAGUCAUCGUACUGACGACAUCUCUUUCAAACGCCUGACUUAUCAGCUGUCGAUGGUAGACUCUGUGUCUACCAUGGCCCUCACGGGUAACGGGGAAUCAGGGUUCGAUUCCGGAGAGGGAGCCUGAGAAACGGCUACCACAUCCAAGGAAGGCAGCAGGCACGCAAAUUACCCACUCCCGGCACGGGGAGGUAGUGACAAAAAAUAACGAUACGGGACUCUAUUGAGGCCCCGUAAUCGGAAUGAGUACACUUUAAAUCCUUUAACAAGGAUCCAUUGGAGGGCAAGUCUGGUGCCAGCAGCCGCGGUAAUUCCAGCUCCAAUAGCGUAUAUUAAAGUUGUUGCGGUUAAAAAGCUCGUAGUUGGUUCUGCGUGCCGCGCUGUCGGUUCGCCGCCUGUCGGUGUAACUGGCAUGUCGCGGCAUGUCCUGUCGGUGGUGAAUGAGGUCCAUAGUACUGCAUAGGCUUUCUUUAGCCGAUGUUAGUGCUGUGUGUAUUUUUGUUUACCGAUCUCUCCUACUCCGGUGCUCUUAAACGAGUGUCGAGGUAGGCCGACACGUUCACUUUGAACAAAUUAGAGUGCUUAAAGCAGGCUGAAAUAUCUGCCUGAAUAGUGGUGCAUGGAAUGAUAAAACAGGACCUCAGUUCUAUUUUGUUGGUUUUAGGAAUAUGAGGUAAUGAUCAAUAUGGACUGGCGGGGGCAUUCGUAUUGCGACGUUAGAGGUGAAAUUCUUGGAUCGUCGCAAGACGCACUAGAGCGAAAGCAUUUGCCAAGUAUGUCUUAAUUGAUCAAGAACGAAAGUUAGAGGUUCGAAGGCGAUCAGAUACCGCCCUAGUUCUAACCAUAAACGAUGCCAGCCAGCGAUCCGCCGAUGUUCCUUUAAUGACUCGGCGGGGAGCUUCCACCCGGGAAACCAAAGCUUUUGGGUUCCGGGGGAAGUAUGGUUGCAAAGCUGAAACUUAAAGGAAUUGACGGAAGGGCACCACCAGGAGUGGAGCCUGCGGCUUAAUUUGACUCAACACGGGAAACCUCACCAGGCCAGGACAUUGGAAGGAUUGACAGAUUGAUAGCUCUUUCUUGAUUCAGUGGGUAGUGGUGCAUGGCCGUUCUUAGUUGGUGGAUCGAUUUGUCUGGUUAAUUCCGAUAACGAACGAGACUCUAGCCUAUUAACUAGACGAUACCGGUAUCAAUGCUACCGGCGAUACUUAUUCUUCUUAAAGGGACAGGCGGCUUACAGCCGCACGAGAUUGAGCAAUAACAGGUCUGUGAUGCCCUUAGAUGUCCUGGGCCGCACGCGCGCUACACUGAAGGAAUCAGCGUGUACUUCCCUGGCCGAAAGGCCCGGGUAACCCGCUGAACCUCCUUCGUGCUAGGAAUUGGGGCUUGCAAUUGUUCCCCAUGAACGAGGAAUUCCCAGUAAGCGCGAGUCAUAAGCUCGCGUUGAUUACGUCCCUGCCCUUUGUACACACCGCCCGUCGCUACUACCGAUUGAAUGAUUUAGUGAGGUCUUCGGACUGGCGGUUAAUCUUUAUCAACUUGUUGGCUAGUUCUAACCAUAAACGAUGCCAGCCAGCGAUCCGCCGAUGUUCCAUUAAUGACUCGGCGGGGAGCUUCUACCCGGGAAACCAAAGCUUUUGGGUUCCGGGGGAAGUAUGGUUGCAAAGCUGAAACUUAAAGGAAUUGACGGAAGGGCACCACCAGGAGUGGAGCCUGCGGCUUAAUUUGACUCAACACGGGAAACCUCACCAGGCCAGGACAUUGGAAGGAUUGACAGAUUGAUAGCUCUUUCUUGAUUCAGUGGGUAGUGGUGCAUGGCCGUUC
rnacentral:rRNA from 1 species